AGCGAACGCUGGCGGCAGGCCUAACACAUGCAAGUCGAACGAACCUUUCGGGGUUAGUGGCGGACGGGUGAGUAACACGUGGGAACGUGCCUUUAGGUUCGGAAUAACUCAGGGAAACUUGUGCUAAUACCGAAUGUGCCCUUCGGGGGAAAGAUUAAUCGCCUUUAGAGCGGCCCGCGUCUGAUUAGCUAGUUGGUUGAGGUAAUGGCUCACCAAGGCGACGAUCAGUAGCUGGUCUGAGAGGAUGAUCAGCCACAUUGGGACUGAGACACGGCCCAAACGCCUACGGGAGGCAGCAGUGGGGAAUCUUGCGCAAUGGGCGAAAGCCUGACGCAGCCAUGCCGCGUGAAUGAUGAAGGUCUUAGGAUUGUAAAAUUCUUUCACCGGGGACGAUAAUGACGGUACCCGGAGAAGAAGCCCCGGCUAACUUCGU
rnacentral:rRNA from 1 species